rnacentral:rRNA from 1 species
AUUCCAGCUCCAAUAGCGUAUACUAAAGUUGUUGCAGUUAAAAAGCUCGUAGUUGGAUUUCUAAUCUCUCUUGGGGUUCCUUUUCUAAAGAAAUGUGCGACCAUUCAAGAGAGAUUAUCCUCGUGCCUAGCCUUUCUCACUUUCAUUAGUCAGGAAGGGGACGCACGUCAUUUACUGUGAGCAAAAUAGAGUGUUCAAAGCAGGCUUAGGCCAUGAAUAUAUUAGCAUGGAAUAAUAAGAUAGGACCUUGGUCUAUUUUGUUGGUUUACAUUCCAAGGUAAUGAUUAAUAGGGAUAGUUGGGGGUAUUCGUAUUCAAUUGUCAGAGGUGAAAUUCUUGGGUUUAUGGAAGACGAACUACUGCGAAAGCAUUUACCAAGGAUGUUUUCAUCA